GAGGGUAUAGCUCAGUGGUAGAGUGCCUGCGUAGCAUGCACAGGGUCCUGGGUUCAAUCCCCAGUACCUCCA
rfam:Camelus ferus unplaced genomic scaffold scaffold237, whole genome shotgun sequence.